AACCCCUGAAAAUUUAUAAUUUAAAUAUGUAGAUGUGUAAACGUAAGACUGAAAGUGGUAAUAUUUCAAUGAGUGAUGGAAACCAAGAUUAGAAAUAAUAGAUAAAUAAUGAUAUAUAAUGGAAGAGAUGACCUUCAUAAAAUGAAUUUUGGUUUAGAAUUCAUAAGGACAGAGAAACUGGUAACGUAUUUUGAUGGAUGAAAUAAUGAGAAAAAUAACAAAAUAUUUUUUUAGGAAAUAAGUGAGGUAAUAAAGAAUACAUUAUAAUAAAUGAUAGUACAAUGAAGAGGGUAGGACUGAAGGUGCAAGCACCGCUUAAAAAUCAGUGAUGUUAUUUUGAAACGAUAAUAAGCUCGAUAAAUAAAUAAAGGUGGAAAUCCUAAAAUGAAUACAUUUCAAAAUAAUUAAACAACCUUAAACGUUUAGAAUGAUAAUUGAUAUGAUUUUUUUUAUGAAGAUUGAACAAGAAAAAUCUAGAUUGUUUAUGAAAAGUUAUGAACUGACCACUUUUACAUUAGGAAGUAGAGCUCUCAAUCCAAUCGUCGGAUCGGGAUGAAAUUUUGUAUGAAGUCUAUUAAUAUGUUUUCCUACCUUGGUUAAAUAUCUCAUCCCAAUCAGAGUUUGGUAAAGACUAGCGAUUUAAACAGAAAUAAACCAGAUAGUUUACAUGAAAAAUAAAAUAAAAUACAUAAAAGCAUGAAAGAGGGACAAAAUUGUAAUUAUGAAAAAAAAGGUGCCUAUAAAACUGCAAAGAGGCCACCAGUUAAAAAAAAAUAGAGAAAAGCGGAUCAAGGGAGAGAGCUGCAGAUUUUGGAGCUCCGGUGGCCAUAUCUCUGGAAUAAACCGUUGGAGCAUGCUUAUUUUUGGAUAUGUUGUUCUAAUUACACUCCUCUACUAACUGACCGGAGCGAUUGGAAGGAACAUAAUCCGUUUGAUAGAAAUCAUCAUCUGUAAUUUCAUGGAAAACAAAAAGGAAAUGCACCUGCAGGGCAGUUUGGUCGCCGACCAAUUUCUCUCUCUUCCACCGUUGGAUCAUGCUUAUUCUUGGAUAUGUGGUGCGCCUAGAUGUUACCUUCAUUCUGGAUGGUGGAGACCGGAAAAGUUUUCUCCGGCAAGGUUUCGUGCAUGUUGAACAGUAGCUCGUCCAUUUUCAGGGAAAGCUGUGGGGACUGGACAAUUGCAUGGAGUGGCAGCACGUGCACCUAUUCUAGGUCCAUCAGGGUCGCGUCAAGAGUAAUGCUAGUUUAGAUAUCUUUUGCUUUUGACUAUGUAAAUUAUAAAACUUGAGAUGUAAUAUUAAUCCGUAAAUUUGAAUGUAUGUCUUUACUCUAAUGGUUUAAACUCUUAGUACCUAUUUGACCAUGCAUAUUUAUAAUUGAAAUUGAAUCUUUCAUUUGAACUAUAUUAUAUGAUGUUAUUGAAUAAGAUGUGUUGUGUUGAUGAUAA